AUGCCCAUCCGGCUCCCUCCUCUCCUCACUCCAAAGGCCCCCCCUUUUAGCCCUCCCCCACCCCGGUCUCCCGCGGGGUGGCUGCAGAGGCCUAGGGGGAGGAAAGACACCAACGCCCUCCUCCGACUUGGGCGGCAUGUCCUCAGCGGAAGUUGGAUUGAUCCAGGUUCCGCAAGAAGGGGUUUUUCUUUCUCUUUCUCUUUUUUUUUUCCUUUGCCGGUUCAGGUCCUUAACCCCGUCCCUCCCACACACUCUCUCCAAGGGACGCUCCCUCAAGAGGCUCCGGCCCACCCACGGGGAAGAGUCGCCCUCCGCCCAGUCAAGCUGGGCGCAGGCUCGGCCUUCAAUCACACCCUGCAGGCCACAUGGAGGGGGGGGGGGGCUCCCGCUUCCCGCUCAGUCGGACGGCAGAGGCCUCCAGCACGGCCUAAGAGUCAGGAGGAUGAGGAAACAAAUUCUGAGAAGGUAUAUGACUUUCCCAAGAUCAUACAAGUGUUUAAAGUGCUAAAGAAAAGGAACAAAAUUUCCUACUUGAAGGAACAGUGAACUUUUAAAGAAAGGGAUGGUACUAUAUCUUGAAGAAGGAACAGGUAUGGAGACUCAUUGUCUUAGAUUUCUAUGGAUUUUUCCUCCUGUGCUAACUUUCCUGGCUAUUACCACUAAUUUAUUUCUCUCUCUCUCUCUCUCUCUCUCUCUCUCUCCCUCUCUCUCUCUCCCUCUCUCUCCCUCUCUCUCUCUCUCUCUCUCUCUCUCUCUCUCUCUCUCUCUCUCUCUCUCUCUCUCUCUCUCUCUCUCUCUCUCUCUCUCUCUCUCUCUCUCUCUCUCUCUCUCUCUCUCUCUCUCUCUCUCUCUCUCUCUCUCUCUCUCUCUCUCUCUCUCUCUCUCUCUCUCUCUCUCUCUCUCUCUCUCUCUCUCUCUCUCUCUCUCUCUCUCUCUCUCUCUCUCUCUCUCUCUCCCCCUCCCUCCCUCCCUCCCUCCCUCUCCUGUCUGUCUUAAGAAGUGUCUAAGACCACAUUUGAACCCAGUACCUUCCAUAUCCAGCCUGGCCCUCUCUAUACUUACCUAGUUGUCUGCCCCUACCACUAAAUUCUCC
rnacentral:lncRNA from 1 species